rnacentral:rRNA from 1 species
UAAGUGGGGGAUAACAUUUGGAAACAGAUGCUAAUACCGCAUAAAUCCAAGAACCGCAUGGUUCUUGGCUGAAAGAUGGCGUAAGCUAUCGCUUUUGGAUGGACCCGCGGCGUAUUAGCUAGUUGGUGAGGUAACGGCUCACCAAGGCAAUGAUACGUAGCCGAACUGAGAGGUUGAUCGGCCACAUUGGGACUGAGACACGGCCCAAACUCCUACGGGAGGCAGCAGUAGGGAAUCUUCCACAAUGGACGCAAGUCUGAUGGAGCAACGCCGCGUGAGUGAAGAAGGCUUUCGGGUCGUAAAACUCUGUUGUUGGAGAAGAAUGGUCGGCAGAGUAACUGUUGUCGGCGUGACGGUAUCCAACCAGAAAGCCACGGCUAACUACGUGCCAGCAGCCGCGGUAAUACGUAGGUGGCAAGCGUUAUCCGGAUUUAUUGGGCGUAAAGCGAGCGCAGGCGGUUUUUUAAGUCUGAU